rnacentral:tRNA from 1 species
GGAAAUGUGGCUUAGUGGUAAAGAACUUGUCUAGCAUGCAUGAAGCCCUGGGUUCAAUUCCUCAGUACCA